rnacentral:RNase_MRP_RNA from 14 species
UGCUGUUGAGGACAAAGAAAGGGGUCUUGACAAACUUCUGCAUGUGAGGCGACAUGAAACACAGAUGAGGGGCCGAGGAGAAAGUCUCCAGACAAUCGCUGGAGAGAGCCCCCGCGGUCAGGUUCUGCAUGUGCGUGAUGUACUUCA